rnacentral:rRNA from 1 species
CCUACGGGUGGCAGCAGUGAGGAAUAUUGGUCAAUGGCCGGAAGGCUGAACCAGCCAUGCCGCGUGAAGGUCAGCGCCCUAUGGGCGUUAAACUUCUUUUGUGCGGGAGCAAUAAUGGUCACGUGUGGCCAGACGAGAGUACCGUACGAAUAAGAAUCGGCUAACUCCGUGCCAGCAGCCGCGGUAAUACAGGGGGUGCAAGCGUUAUCCGGAUUUUUUGGGUUUAAAGGGUGCGUAGGCUGGGAGGUAAUUCAGCGGUGAAAUGCCCCCGCUCAACGGGGUGAAGGGCCAUUGAUACUGCCUUGCUAGAGUGCGGAUGACGUGGGAGGAAUGUGUGGUGUAGCGGUGAAAUGCAUAGAUAUCACACAGAACACCGAUUGCGAAGGCAGCUCACGAAGCCGCGAUUGACGCUGAUGCACGAAAGCGUGGGUAUCAAACAGGAUUAGAUACCCCUGUAGUC